rnacentral:rRNA from 1 species
GACGAACGCUGGCGGCGUGCCUAAUACAUGCAAGUUGAGCGCUGAAGGUUGGUACUUGUACCAACUGGAUGAGCAGCGAACGGGUGAGUAACGCGUGGGGAAUCUGCCUUUGAGCGGGGGACAACAUUUGGAAACGAAUGCUAAUACCGCAUAAAAACUUUAAACACAAGUUUUAAGUUUGAAAGAUGCAAUUGCAUCACUCAAAGAUGAUCCCGCGUUGUAUUAGCUAGUUGGUGAGGUAAAGGCUCACCAAGGCGAUGAUACAUAGCCGACCUGAGAGGGUGAUCGGCCACAUUGGGACUGAGACACGGCCCAAACUCCUACGGGAGGCAGCAGUAGGGAAUCUUCGGCAAUGGACGAAAGUCUGACCGGGCAACGCCGCGUGAGUGAAGAAGGUUUUCGGAUCGUAAAACUCUGUUGGUAGAGAAGAACGGUUGUGAGAGUGGAAAGCUCAUCAAGUGACGGUAACUACCCAGAAAGGGACGGCUAACUACGUG